UGCACCAGCACCAACGGGAACAGCCUGCAAGAUCAGUCUUUUGUGGACUCUAGCAAGUUCUCCAGUGCAGGGUCUCUCCCGGGACUGGCCUUCUCCUGAACGAUAUCUGGCAUGAUUGUUCCUCCUAUGUGAAAGAAUUGCCUUGAAGAAUUGUAUUAAUGAAGAGGUUGGAUUCUGCUACAGAGAGUAAUCUGAUACAAGUCCCAGAGUGGAACUUUUAACUCAGGCCUUUUUAAGAGGAAUCACAAUAACUGCAGAUUUUUAAACAAACAAAAUCACCGACCGUGCAAAUACUGAAAUUGGAAGAGGGAUCUGCAAGUGCAGGGUGUUGGUUAAAGUUGUACCUCCCAAGUAUUUGGGGGAUAUAUUUAUUCUGUAUUGACAAAAGCAAAUCCACUUUUUCUUUUUUUUUCUUUUUUUUUUUUUAAGCUUAAUUCUGCAAUCAUUUGUCUUUUAUAAACCGUAAAGCUCUAUACAAGGGACACUAUAAAUAAGACUCCAUGUUUUAAUUUAUGAUGUUUUUAAAGCUGUGUAAAGGAAGAAUGAAGUGGUGAUAUUUACAAAAAAGUAAAAAAAAAAAAAAAAGAAAAAAAGGAAAAAAAAAAAAG
rnacentral:sRNA from 1 species